rnacentral:rRNA from 1 species
GUGGGGAAUAUUGCACAAUGGGGGAAACCCUGAUGCAGCGACGCCGCGUGAGCGAAGAAGUAUUUCGGUAUGUAAAGCUCUAUCAGCAGGGAAGAAAAUGACGGUACCUGACUAAGAAGCCCCGGCUAACUACGUGCCAGCAGCCGCGGUAAUACGUAGGGGGCAAGCGUUAUCCGGAUUUACUGGGUGUAAAGGGAGCGUAGACGGAGCAGCAAGUCUGAUGUGAAAACCCGGGGCUCAACCCCGGGACUGCAUUGGAAACUGUUGAUCUGGAGUGCCGGAGAGGUAAGCGGAAUUCCUAGUGUAGCGGUGAAAUGCGUAGAUAUUAGGAGGAACACCAGUGGCGAAGGCGGCUUACUGGACGGUAACUGACGUUGAGGCUCGAAAGCGUGGGGAGCAAACAGGAUUAGAAACCCGAGUAGUCC